GGCCAGUUAGCUCAGUGGUUUGAGCGCAGUGCUGACAAUGACCAACAUUGAGGUCGCGGGCUCGAUUCCCGCUCGGUCCC
rfam:Apaloderma vittatum contig91419, whole genome shotgun sequence.